GAGUAUCUGUGUACAUGGAUGAAUGUAAAUGUGUCUGCGUGUAGUCAACUGCUGUUGUUAACACACGAUGACGUUUCAUAUUCAUUCUUCUAAUGUUACUCUGCUAUAUUAUAGAUAUUGUUGCGUCACAGACGGAUUUCUAUCCUACAAACGUUCUAUUGCGUUUUACUGUUAAAAUGUGCGCACUUCCGGUUUAGCGGCUGCGCUUCGGUUUCGUUUUAAAAGGAACAAACAAAAAGGGAUUUACAGACAAACAGAUCGGUCGUUUUUUCGUGUUUGGAUUUGGACAGAAAAGGACAUUUACUCUUUUGGUUUAAAUGUUAUUGUGUUAUUUCCGUUUUAUUUCCGUAUUUUUCGUCUAAACGGUAAAGGAACUUUGCAAAGGUUGACGGCCCGUUAACACACAAACACACAGUAAACACACGCUGUGUGUCACGGGACAUACUCACACGAUGUGACACUUUAAGACGUUAAAGUGAAGCUUGGUGACUUUCUACGCGUCUCCCUCACGUCUUCUUCUUCUUCUUCUUCUUCUUCUUCCGGUUUGUUCUGGCGGGUCGCAACCAGCGUCACGUGACCAGGUGCAUCGCGCCACCUGCUGUACCGGAGUGUGCAGGUUCAGGGUUUAUUGCUCAGCCUGCCGCUGUUACCUGGAUCCUACGACCUGGUCCCGUCUCUUCUAUGAGACGCAUCAGGGGUCUAAAGCAGUCGGGCCCACCCUGCUCCACUGACACGACUCCCUCCACACUCCACUUCCGUCCCCGGUGGACAAUAAACGCUGUGUGUGACGGAGCAGCAGAGGAAACUAAUUCACAGUAAAUAUAAAUAUCAGACAUGAAAGUGUCUCAAUGGAGCAGAUCAGAGUUGUUAGAGCCUCGAGGGGCGAAGAGCAAAGAGGAAAAGGGCGGCGUUUACCCUGAACACCCGUCCACAGCAGCACAGAGAGAACGGCCCCCCCUCACCCACUGAGGGACACCGUGCACAUCAGGAGCCCAACGACACGACCAACGUCCAACAAACAGGCGUUUAAAAAGGGCGGCAGUGCUACUUUCUGCACGGACGCUUCAGCUUCACCAUUGGAAAUCCAUAUGGAGUGUGUUGGAAUGAGUGCGAGCUCCAGUUUUGACAGGAGACGCUCCAACGUUUGAGGCCGGAGGACAUGCUGUGGAGAACAAUGAUGUCCACUUUAGGAAAAAGAUAUUCAUUGACUGCUGUAAAACGUCUCUCUAGCGUGUUGUG
ensembl:lncRNA